CGGGGUGAGUAAUGUCUGGGAAACUGCCUGAUGGAGGGGGAUAACUGCUGGAAACGGUAGCUAAUACCGCAUAACGUCACAAGACCAAAGAGGGGGACCUUCGGGCCUCUUGCCAUCGGAUGUGCCCAGAUGGGAUUAGCUAGUAGGUGGGGUAACGGCUCACCUAGGCGACGAUCCCUAGCUGGUCUGAGAGGAUGACCAGCCACACUGGAACUGAGACACGGUCCAG
rnacentral:rRNA from 1 species